CCUACGGGUGGCACCAGUGGGGAAUAUUGGACAAUGGGGGGAACCCUGAUCCAGCCAUGCCGCGUGUGUGAAGAAGGCCUUAUGGUUGUAAAGCACUUUAAGCGAGGAGGAGGCUACUAGUAUUAAUACUACUGGAUAGUGGACGUUACUCGCAGAAUAAGCGCCGGCUAACUCUGUGCCAGCAGCCGCGGUAAUACAGAGUGUGCGAGCGUUAAUCGGAUUUACUGGGCGUAAAGCGUGCGUAGGCGGCCAUUUAAGUCAAAUGUGAAAUCCCCGAGCUUAACUUGGGAAUUGCAUUCGAUACUGGAUGGCUAGAGUAUGGGAGAGGAUGGUAGAAUUCCAGGUGUAGCGGUGAGAUGCGUAGAGAUCUGGAGGAAUACCGAUGGCGAAGGCAGCCAUCUGGCCUAAUACUGACGCUGAGGUACGAAAGCAUGGGGAGCAAACAGGAUUAGAUUCCCUGGUAGUC
rnacentral:rRNA from 1 species